GUUCCUUGACCUCGAGCAGCGCUUCUGCCGUCACGAGGCGCGGAUCGGACGU
rnacentral:sRNA from 1 species